UGUGAGCUCGAUGAGUAGGGCGGGACACGUGGUAUCCUGUCUGAAUAUGGGGGGACCAUCCUCCAAGGCUAAAUACUCCUGACUGACCGAUAGUGAACCAGUACCGUGAGGGAAAGGCGAAAAGAACCCCGGCGAGGGGAGUGAAAAAGAACCUGAAACCGUGUACGUACAAGCAGUGGGAGCACGCUUAGGCGUGUGACUGCGUACCUUUUGUAUAAUGGGUCAGCGACUUAUAUUCUGUAGCAAGGUUAACCGAAUAGGGGAGCCGAAGGGAAACCGAGUCUUAACUGGGCGUUAAGUUGCAGGGUAUAGACCCGAAACCCGGUGAUCUAGCCAUGGGCAGGUUGAAGGUUGGGUAACACUAACUGGAGGACCGAACCGACUAAUGUUGAAAAAUUAGCGGAUGACUUGUGGCUGGGGGUGAAAGGCCAAUCAAACCGGGAGAUAGCUGGUUCUCCCCGAAAGCUAUUUAGGUAGCGCCUCGUGAAUUCAUCUCCGGGGGUAGAGCACUGUUUCGGCAAGGGGGUCAUCCCGACUUACCAACCCGAUGCAAACUGCGAAUACCGGAGAAUGUUAUCACGGGAGACACACGGCGGGUGCUAACGUCCGUCGUGAAGAGGGAAACAACCCAGACCGCCAGCUAAGGUCCCAAAGUCAUGGUUAAGUGGGAAACGAUGUGGGAAGGCCCAGACAGCCAGGAUGUUGGCUUAGAAGCAGCCAUCAUUUAAAGAAAGCGUAAUAGCUCACUGGUCGAGUCGGCCUGCGCGGAAGAUGUAACGGGGCUAAACCAUGCACCGAAGCUGCGGCAGCGACGCUUAUGCGUUGUUGGGUAGGGGAGCGUUCUGUAAGCCUGUGAAGGUGUACUGUGAGGUAUGCUGGAGGUAUCAGAAGUGCGAAUGCUGACAUAAGUAACGAUAAAGCGGGUGAAAAGCCCGCUCGCCGGAAGACCAAGGGUUCCUGUCCAACGUUAAUCGGGGCAGGGUGAGUCGACCCCUAAGGCGAGGCCGAAAGGCGUAGUCGAUGGGAAACAGGUUAAUAUUCCUGUACUUGGUGUUACUGCGAAGGGGGGACGGAGAAGGCUAUGUUGGCCGGGCGACGGUUGUCCCGGUUUAAGCGUGUAGGCUGGUUUUCCAGGCAAAUCCGGAAAAUCAAGGCUGAGGCGUGAUGACGAGGCACUACGGUGCUGAAGCAACAAAUGCCCUGCUUCCAGGAAAAGCCUCUAAGCAUCAGGUAACAUCAAAUCGUACCCCAAACCGACACAGGUGGUCAGGUAGAGAAUACCAAGGCGCUUGAGAGAACUCGGGUGAAGGAACUAGGCAAAAUGGUGCCGUAACUUCGGGAGAAGGCACGCUGAUAUGUAGGUGAAGUCCCUCGCGGAUGGAGCUGAAAUCAGUCGAAGAUACCAGCUGGCUGCAACUGUUUAUUAAAAACACAGCACUGUGCAAACACGAAAGUGGACGUAUACGGUGUGACGCCUGCCCGGUGCCGGAAGGUUAAUUGAUGGGGU
rnacentral:rRNA from 1 species